rnacentral:rRNA from 1 species
AUACGUAGGGAGCGAGCGUUGUCCGGAAUUACUGGGCGUAAAGGGUGCGUAGGCGGCAUAUCAAGUCAGGAGUGAAAUACCCGGGCUCAACCCGGGGGCUGCUUCUGAAACUGAUGAGCUUGAGUUCGGGGGAGGAAAGUGGAAUUCCUAGUGUAGCGGUGGAAUGCGUAGAUAUUAGGAGGAACACCAGUGGCGAAGGCGACUUUCUGGACCGAUACUGACGCUGAGGCACGAAAGCGUGGGGAGCAAACAGGAUUAGAUACCCUGGUAGUCCACGCUGUAAACGAUGGAUACUAGGUGUGGGGUUCGAGUGAAUUCCGUGCCGGAGCAAACGCAAUAAGUAUCCCGCCUGGGGAGUACGGCCGCAAGGCUGAAACUCAAAGGAAUUGACGGGG